rnacentral:rRNA from 1 species
GACGAACGCUGGCGGCGUGCUUAACACAUGCAAGUCGAACGAAGUGGCGAACGGGUGAGUAACGCGUAAUCAACCUGCCCUUCAGAGGGGGACAACAGUUGGAAACGACUGCUAAUACCGCAUACUGAAGGGGGGGAUUGCGCCGGAUUUGGUAGUUGGCGGGGUAACGGCCCACCAGGGCGAUGAUCAGUCGCCGGUCUGAGAGGAUGAACGGCCAAAUUUGGACUGAGACACGGCCCAGACUCCUACGGGAGGCAGCAGUGGGGAAUGUUCCGCAAUGGACGAAAGUCUGACGGAGCAACGCCGCGUGAGUGAUGACGGCCUGCGGGUUGUAAAGCUCUGUUAAUCGGGACGCGGUACCGGAAUAGAAAGCCACGGCUAACUACGUGCCAGCAGCCGCGGUAAUAC